CCUGCCCGGUGACCUGAGGUUUAACGGCCGCGGUAUCCUAACCGUGCAAAGGUAGCGCAAUCAAUUGUCCCAUAAAUCGAGACUUGUAUGAAUGGCUAAACGAGGUCUUAACUGUCUCUUACAGGCAAUCGGUGAAAUUGAUCUCCCUGUGCAAAAGCAGGGAUAAAACCAUAAGACGAGAAGACCCUGUGGAACUUUAAAACCAGCAGCCACCCCAAAACACAUACACCCCCACUGGGCUCACUGACACACUGGGAGCUUGGCCUGCGUUUUUCGGUUGGGGCGACCUUGGAGAAAAACAAAUCCUCCAAAAAUUAGACCAUACAUCUAGACUGAGAGCAACCCCUCAACGUGCUAAUAGCAACCAGACCCAAUAUAAUUGAUCAAUGGACCAAGCUACCCCAGGGAUAACAGCGCAAUCCCCUCCGAGAGUCCGUAUCGACGAGGGGGUUUACGACCUCGAUGUUGGAUCAGGACAUCCUGGUGGUGCAGCCGCUACCAAGGGUUC
rnacentral:rRNA from 1 species